UUUAUAUGUAACUCUUUUAAAAUAUGGUUAUUGUUAUAAAUUGUUCGCAUUGCCGUGGCCAGAUUUAUUUAUUUAUUUAUUUGGCUGUGAAAACGACUUUAAAUGCCAGAAUUUGAUUCUGAGUGAAAUGCUUUGAAUAUACAACGCAGCCUUUGUGCGCAUACAGCGUCACCUAGGCACACAGCAAACUGAUCUUCCCGUAUGAGGGUAGCGGCCAGUGGUUAGGCAGCUUGAGACCAAGAUACAACAUGUUCACCUCAGCCAUUAUCCUGGUCAAGUCAGGUCCUGGGUAAUUGCUGAAUGUUGCGUCAGGAUAUUGGGUGGGGUGAGACAAUGGGUGAAAGAUUAAGAAGCUUGGAUGUGCGCUUGUGAAAACCCGUGACAAACGAAGAUGGAUUUGGCCCUGCUCCAUUCUUGGUCCCAUCAGGACUACACACUGCCCUCAGCUGGGUCAUCUUGAUUCUGUGUUGGCCCAUGAUUGAUUAAACACUGUGUCAUCAUGUAGUUGAUGAGUGUUGUAAAUAAAUGUUUUACACAA